rnacentral:rRNA from 1 species
AUGAACGCUGGCGGCGUGCCUAAUACAUGCAAGUCGAACGAGGUGCUUUCGUAGCAAUACGAGAGUAUCCUAGUGGCGAACGGGUGAGUAACGCGUUGGUGACCUACCCCAAAGUGUGGGAUAACAGUCCGAAAGGACUGCUAAUACCGCAUGUGGUUAUUGGAUUUAGAAACCUGAUGACUAAGGAGCAAUUCGCUUUGGGAGGGACCUGCGUCCCAUCAGCUAGUUGGUGAGGUAAUGGCUCACCAAGGCGACGACGGGUAGGGGACCUGAGAGGGUGGCCCCCCACAAUGGAACUGAAACACGGUCCAUACACCUACGGGUGGCAGCAGUAGGGAAUAUUGCUCAAUGGGCGAAAGCCUGAAGCAGCAACGCCGCGUGUGUGAUGAAGGCCUUCGGGUCGUAAACACUUUUCUGAGAGAUGAGAAAGGACAGUAUCUCAGGAAUAAGUCUCGGCUAACUACGUGCCAGCAGCCGCGGUAAAACGUAGGAGGCAAGCGUUAUCCGGAUUCACUGGGCGUAAAGCGCGUGCAGGUGGCGCGGUAAGUUGGGUGUGAAAUCUCCCGGCUCAACUGGGAGAGGUCAGUCAAUACUACCGUACUUGAGAGCAGAAGAGGAAGAUGGAAUUCCCGGUGUAGUGGUGAAAUGCGUAGAUAUCGGGAGGAACACCAGUGGCGAAGGCGAUCUUCUGGUCUGUUUCUGACACUCAGACGCGACAGCUAGGGUAGUAAACGGGAUUAGAGACCCCGGUAAUCCUAGCCGUAAACGAUGUGAACUUGGCGUUGGUGGGUUAAACUCCAUCAGUGCCGCAGCAAACGCGAUAAGUUCACCGCCUGGGGACUACGGCCGCAAGGUUAAAACCCAAAGGAAUUGACGGGGGCCCGCACAAGCAGCGGAGCGUGUGGUUUAAUUCGAUGCUACACGAAGAACCUUACCCAGGCUUGACAUACAGGUGGUAGGGAUCCGAAAGGUGACCGACCCGCAAGGGAGCCUGUACAGGUGUUGCAUGGCUGUCGUCAGCUCGUGUCGUGAGAUGUUCGGUUAAGUCCGCUAACGAGCGCAACCCUCGCUGCGUGUUACAAGUGUCACGCAGGACCGCCGGUAUUGAGCCGGAGGAAGGUGGGGAUGACGUCAAGUCAGCAUGGCCUUUAUGCCUGGGGCUACACACACGCUACAAUGGGCAGUACAAUGGGUUGCUAAGCCGCGAGGUGGAGCCAAUCCCCCAAAACUGUCCUCAGUUCAGAUUGCAGGCUGCAACUCGCCUGCAUGAAGCCGGAGUUGCUAGUAAACGCGCGUCAGCUAUAGUGCGUUGAAUACGUUCUCGGGCCUUGUACACACCGCCCGUCACGUCAUGGGAGCUGGUAACACCUGAAGCCGGUAGCCUAACCGCAAGGAGGGCGCCGUCGAAGGUGGGGCUGGUGACUGGGACG